rnacentral:rRNA from 1 species
GCGCAGCAGUCGAGAAUUUUUCUCAAUGGGGGAAACCCUGAAGGAGCGACGCCGCGUGGAGGAUGAAGGUCUUCGGGUUGUAAACUCCUGUCAUUUGGGAACAAGUCGCUUACGUUAACUGCGUGAGCGUUGAUAGUACCAGAAGAGGAAGAGACGGCUAACUCUGUGCCAGCAGCCGCGGUAAUACAGAGGUCUCAAGCGUUGUUCGGAUUCAUUGGGCGUAAAGGGUGUGUAGGUGGCGCCGUAAGUCGGGUGUGAAAUCUCGGGGCUUAACUCCGAAACUGCAUUCGAUACUGCGGUGCUUGAGGACUGGAGAGGAGACUGGAAUUCAUGGUGUAGCAGUGAAAUGCGUAGAGAUCAUGAGGAAGACCAGUGGCGAAGGCGGGUCUCUGGACAGUUCCUGACACCGAGACACGAAGGCCAGGGGAGCAAACGGGAUUAGAUACCCGUGUAGU